GACGAACGCUGGCGGCGUGCCUAACACAUGCAAGUCGAACGGAAAGGCCCUGCUUUUGUGGGGUGCUCGAGUGGCGAACGGGUGAGUAACACGUGAGUAACCUGCCCUUGACUUUGGGAUAACUUCAGGAAACCGGGGCUAAUACCGGAUAGGAGCUCCUGCUGCAUGGUGGGGGUUGGAAAGGUUCGGCGGUUGGGGAUGGACUCGCGGCUUAUCAGCUUGUUGGUGGGGUAGUGGCUUACCAAGGCUUUGACGGGUAGCCGGCCUGAGAGGGUGACCGGCCACAUUGGGACUGAGAUACGGCCCAGACUCCUACGGGAGGCAGCAGUGGGGAAUAUUGCACAAUGGGCGGAAGCCUGAUGCAGCAACGCCGCGUGCGGGAUGACGGCCUUCGGGUUGUAAACCGCUUUCGCCUGUGACGAAGCGUGAGUGACGGUAAUGGGUAAAGAAGCACCGGCUAACUACGUG
rnacentral:rRNA from 1 species